GGUGGGCUUAGCGACUGGGGUGAAGUCGUAACAAGGUAGCCGUAGGGGAACCUGCGGCUGGAUCACCUCCUUUCUAAGGAACGCGGCGGAAAGCGCUGCCGGCCUCGGCCCUCGGGUCCUCGCUGGUGGAAGAGCUUCCUCUGUGUCCUAUGAACAUUCAGUACCACCGCCCUCAUGUCCCUUCAUCCUAGGUUAGUCUGCGAGACGAAACAGCGCCACAGCCGCAAGGUUGUGGUAGCCUGAGUGGCUCACGCCGCCCGCGGCCCUUGUGGCCGGUCGGGUUUGAAAGCUGUUUUGCACGCAGGCAAGCUCGGCCAGCGCCGCGAAGCGCGCCAUAAGGCGCAGCUUCGCUGCGACUGACGGCGCAGCGGGUGCGGGCCGGUAGCUCAGGUGGUUAGAGCGCACGCCUGAUAAGCGUGAGGUCGUAGGUUCAACUCCUACUCGGCCCACCAGCAUCAGAUGUUGCGCCGGCCCACGCCGCCGGUCGUGGCAAAGUGAGCCCAUCGAAGUAGUACUUUGAUGGGCCCUCAAAGCCACGCCCUCUGGCGCGGGCUUUUCCACGCCGAUCGUGCUUGCGCAGAUGCGCCGCAGCUUGCGCUGCUGCGUCUUCUGCACUGCGCAUGGGGCUUUAGCUCAGCUGGGAGAGCGGUUGCUUUGCAAGCAUCAGGUCAUCGGUUCGAUCCCGAUAAGCUCCACCAGCGCCACAUACCUAGAGAUGAAGAGAAACGGUUCCCCCGUGGCGACACGGGGGUUUGAUGGGUCAUGACGACCCUCUUUGACAUUGUGAAUGGGUUCUUAAAAUCGAUGCCGUGAGGUAUCGGCUUUGGGAGGAGCGCUGGCCGCAAGGGCAGGGCGACGACCGAGGCGGAUAUUCUUACAACAAUCUGGCUGAGAUUAUUUAUCCCGCACUGAGCUGAGCCGCUCGGCGGCACGCUUCACGCGUGUCGACGAUGGUUCGGCCUCAUCAACGCUGCUCUGCCGAGUCGAUGAUCCUUCGGGACAUCCAGCGUUGAUGUUGGUGGUGUGGGCUCUCAAGCGUGAGGUAAGGGCAAUUCGUGGAUGCCUUGGCGCAUACAGGCGAUGAAGGACGUGGCACGCUGCGAUAAGCUGCGGUGA
rnacentral:misc_RNA from 1 species